CAGUAGCCACGGUAAAACGAAGGGUGCAAGCGUUAAUCGGAAUUACUGGGCGUAAAGCGCGCGUAGGUGGUUUGGUAAGAUGGAUGUGAAAUCCCCGGGCUCAACCUGGGAACUGCAUCCAUAACUGCCUGACUAGAGUACGGUAGAGGGUGGUGGAAUUUCCUGUGUAGCGGUGAAAUGCGUAGAUAUAGGAAGGAACACCAGUGGCGAAGGCGACCACCUGGACUGAUACUGACACUGAGGUGCGAAAGCGUGGGGAGCAAACAGGAUUAGAUACCCCCGUAGUCCCUGUCUCUUAUAA
rnacentral:rRNA from 1 species